rnacentral:rRNA from 1 species
AUUCCUUCUCCAGGAGCGUAUAUUAAAGUUGAUGCAGUUAAAAAGCUCGUAGUCUGAGGUUUGCUGUGUGGUGUGUUGGGUGCGUGAGCGCCUGGCGUGCUGUGUGGCAUUUCUGGGGCUGGGUGUCUGGUGCCCUUGAUUGGGUGUCUGGUGCCUGCCCUGCCUUUACUUUGAAAAAAUUAGAGUGUUCAAAGCAAGCGUGUUGCAUGAAUAGUUCAGCAUGGAAUAAUGGAAGAGGACCUUGGUCUUGUUUCGUUGGUUUCCAGGGCCGAGGUAAUGAUGAAUAGGGACAGUUGGGGGCAUUCGUAUUUAGUUGUCAGAGGUGAAAUUCUUGGAUUUACUACAGACGAACAUCUGCGAAAGCAUCUGCCAAGGAUGUUUUCAUUG